GGUGAGAAGUUGUCUAGUAAGGAGUUGUCUAGUAAGGAGUCGUCUAGUAAGGAGUCAUAUGGUGAGAAGUUGUCUGAUAAGGAGUCAUUUGGUAAGAAAUUAUCUAGUGGUAAGCAUCUGGUGGUACGAGUUGUCAAGUAAGAACUAAGUUGUUGGGAAUAUCGAAUUUGGGGUUCCGAACAUCAGUUUUGGACGUUCUUUAGGUAGUUUUGGACCCUUUCAGAGUUGUUGGUGAGGGUUUCCGAGCUAUUUUCCC
rnacentral:lncRNA from 1 species